GGCGAACGCUGGCGGCGUGCUUAACACAUGCAAGUCGAACGGAAAGGCCCUGCUUUUGUGGGGUGCUCGAGUGGCGAACGGGUGAGUAACACGUGAGUAACCUGCCCUUGACUUUGGGAUAACUUCAGGAAACUGGGGCUAAUACCGGAUAGGAGCUCCUGCUGCAUGGUGGGGGUUGGAAAGUUUCGGCGGUUGGGGAUGGACUCGCGGCUUAUCAGCUUGUUGGUGGGGUAGUGGCUUACCAAGGCUUUGACGGGUAGCCGGCCUGAGAGGGUGACCGGCCACAUUGGGACUGAGAUACGGCCCAGACUCCUACGGGAGGCAGCAGCGGGGAAUAUUGCACAAUGGGCGGAAGCCUGAUGCAGCAACGCCGCGUGCGGGAUGACGGCCUUCGGGUUGUAAACCGCUUUCGCCUGUGACGAAGCGUGAGUGACGGUAAUGGGUAAAGAAGCACCGGCUAACUACGUG
rnacentral:rRNA from 1 species